rnacentral:rRNA from 1 species
CCGGAGGUAGAGCACUGGAUGGACUAGGGCCCCCACCAGGGUACCAAACCCAACCAAACUACGAAUGCCGGUAAGUCGUUCCGCGGGAGUCAGACGGCGGGAGCUAACUUUCGUCGUCGAAAGGGAAACAACCCAGACCGUCAGCUAAGGCCCCCAAGUCAUGGCUAAGUGGGAAAGGAAGUGGGAACGCCCAGACAACCAGGAGGUUAGCUUAGAAGCAGCUACCCUUUAAAGAAAGCGUAAUAGCUCACUGGUCAAGCGGGCCUGCACCGAAAAUAUAACGGGGCUUAAGCCAUGCGCCGAAGCUGCGGAUCGUCCUUCGGGACGAUGGUAGGGGAGCGUUCCCCGUGCGGAGAAGCUGUGGUGAGAACCAUGGUGGAGCGCGGGGAAGUGAGGAUGUUGGCAUGAGUAACGAAAAUGCGGGCGAGAAACCCGCACGCCGAAAGUCCAAGGGUUCCUGGGCCAGGUUAAUCCGCCCAGGGUUAGUCGGCACCUAAGGCGAGGCCGAAAGGCGUAGUCGAAGGAAAACCGGUUCAUAUUCCGGUACUUGCGGUGACGCGUGAUGGAGGGACGCAGGAGGAUAGGUCGGCCGGGUGAUGGAUGUCCCGGUUUAAGGCGGUAGCCGGAAGCUCUAGGCAAAUCCGGAGCUUCAACGGCGAGAGCUGAUGACGAGAGGCUUUGCCUCACAAAGCGAUUGAUUCCACACUGCCAAGAAAAGCUUCUAAGCAUAGUCACGGCAAACCGUACCCCAAACCGACACAGGUGGACAGGUAGAGAAUACCAAGGCGCUUGAGAGAAACCAUGUUAAGGAACUCUGCAAAUUAACUCCGUACCUUUGGAAGAAGGAGUGCCCACAAAGUGAAGGGGCUUGCCCCCGGAGCUUAGCUGGGUCGCAGUGACCAGGCCUGGCCGACUGUUUAGCAAAAACAUAGCACUCUGCAAACUCGCAAGAGGAAGUAUAGGGUGUGACGCCUGCCCGGUGCCGGAAGGUUAACAGGAGAGGUCAGCUUCGGCGAAGCCUCGAAUCGAAGCCCCGGUAAACGGCGGCCGUAACUAUAACGGUCCUAAGGUAGCGAAAUUCCUUGUCGGGUAAGUUCCGACCUGCACGAAUGGCGUAACGAUCCGGGCGCUGUCUCAACGUGGUUCUCAGUGAAAUUGAAAUAGCGGUGAAGAUACCGUUAACCCGCAGCAAGACGGAAAGACCCCGUGAACCUUUACUGCAGCUUGGCAGUGGAUUCGGGAAGAGCUUGUGUAGGAUAGGUGGGAGGCUUAGAAGUCGGUGCGCCAGCGCCGGUGGAGCCGUCCUUGAAAUACCACCCUGGUUUUUUCGGAAUUCUAACCUCGUCCCGUGAUCCGGGACAGGGACCCUGCCUGGUGGGCGGUUUGACUGGGGCGGUCGCCUCCCAAAGCGUAACGGAGGCGCGCAAUGGUUCCCUCAGAGUGAUUGGAAACCACUCGUAGAGUGCAAAGGCAUAAGGGAGCCUGACUGCGAGAGAGACAUCUCAAGCAGGGACGAAAGUCGGUCUUAGUGAUCCGGUGGUUCCUUGAGGAAGGGCCAUCGCUCAACGGAUAAAAGGUACUCCGGGGAUAACAGG